ensembl:lncRNA
GCUGGGUUUUGAGAAUUGUUUGACUAUUACUUACGAUAGUUACCUAAGUAUGAAACUUGCUUUCACAUAAUGUCUAGGUUGUAAUGCUAAUCCAUGUCUUUGUGUAAUAAAGGUGGCAAUGUGCUGUGAAAGCUUUUUUUAUAUUUUUUAUAUAUAUAUUUUCACAGGGUGGUCUGACCCAGACACAGAACACUAGUGCAUAGCCCAGGAUGCUAGGUGGAAGAACGUUUGUGUUUAACUCCUUCACAUGACUAUACCACGAAACUCUAUUUCAAGAUGAAGCAAGUGCUUGUCUAUUUAAAAACGUGCUUCAAAAAUGCCAAGUUGUUGCAUACUGUCUUCAGUGUUACAUAUGAAUAUCAAAUUAGACACUAACAGUCAAAUAUCUUAGUCAUAAAUCAACGGGAGGUGGAGCCCCCCAACUCCUAACUGGAUGGUCUGGAGACAGUCGGGGAGGAGAGAACGCAAGGAGGCUGGACUGUUUUAUUUUUAUUUUGUUUGUUUGAUUCCUAUUCAUAUUCUUAUUUUUGUUGAAUGUCUGAUUCCUAUUCACUUCCCUGCACUCAAAUCACAUUGUGUGUAUGUAAUUUUAUUUAUGUUUUAUUUUAUUUUUUAUUUAUUGUCUGAUUUUGAUUUAUGUUUGAUAUAUACGUUAAUGCCUUUUUAGGUUGUAUAGCCUUUUUCACUCUGGCAGGGGGACUGCCAAUGGAAACUAGCCUUUUGGCUACAAUUGGGUGCAUUUACAUCUUAAUGUUCAUGAAUGUACACUGUCCCUCUUCAUCAAAUAAACAAACUGAUUGAUUGAUUGAUGGCAUGUUGCAUUACUCAAUAGAAUAUUGUGCCCAUUUCCUCUAACCAUCUCUGUAGCAUAGCAUAGCAUAGCAUGUUUUGUAUUUCUUCCUGUGUUUGCCCUGGAAUCUAAAUACUGGCUGUCUUGAGAUUGGGUAGCCUGGGUACCAGAUUAAUUUAGCCCCGCCCACAACAUUUGAGGUCUGGAAGUUCGGUCUGGCAUUGCUCGUUGGGGAGAAAAUAUGCCGACAAAAACUUUACCAGACCAAUCAAAUUGUCAGGGCGGGCUUUAUACGAUGAUGAGCAGAUGAUCAACCGUAACGUAAUCAACCACGUCACCAAAGCGUUUGGGUUGAAUUCGUUUUUAACAAACAUGACUGCCGCUGGAGAUCUGAAAUGUGGAGAUUCAAGUCUGUUUU